rnacentral:rRNA from 1 species
ACGCUCGACACCUACUGGAGGCAGCAGUGGGGAAUAUUGCACAAUGGGGGAAACCCUGAUGCAGCGACGCCGCGUGAAGGAAGAAGUAUCUCGGUAUGUAAACUUCUAUCAGCAGGGAAGAAAAUGACGGUACCUGACUAAGAAGCCCCGGCUAACUACGUGCCGCAGCCGCGGUAAUACUGAGGCGGGCGUGGCGAAGGC